AGAGUUUGAUCAUGGCUCAGAGUGAACGCUGGCGGCAGGCCUAAUACAUGCAAGUCGAACGGCAGCACAGCAGAGCUUGCUCUGUGGGUGGCGAGUGGCGGACGGGUGAGGAAUACGUGGGAAUCUGCCCAGUCGUGGGGAUAACGUAGGGAAACUUACGCUAAUACCGCAUGCGCCCUUCGGGGGAAAGCCGGGGACCUUCGGGCCUGGCGCGAUUGGAUGAGCCCACGUCGGAUUAGCUAGUUGGCGGGUAAAGGCCCACCAAGGCGACGAUCCGUAGCUGGUCUGAGAGGAUGAUCAGCCACACUGGAACUGAGACACGGCCCAGACUCCUACGGGAGGCAGCAGUAGGGAAUAUUGGACAAUGGGCGCAAGCCUGAUCCAGCCAUGCCGCGUGAGUGAAGAAGGCCCUCGGGUUGUAAAGCUCUUUUGUCCGGAAAGAAAAGCGCCGGGUUAAUACCCUGGUGUCCUGACGGUACCGGAAGAAUAAGCACCGGCUAACUUCGUG
rnacentral:rRNA from 1 species